UAGGCUUCUUGACCUCAAGGAUCUUAAUAUAAGGAAGAAAUAAUUUUUAAAAGAGGCUUCCCUGCUUACCUUCUCACUUCUCCUGCAAUAAACUGUCCAUAUUCUUACAUCUGGGGAUGCAUACUGGUCUCAAUGUAUGCAUAGUAAAAUCACGAUGCACAGUAAUAUCAAAGAACACCUGUUCCCAGCGCUGAAGCAUUCCGAUGGUUCUUUUAAAGCAGUAGUAUAUCUUAUUUUCAAGGCAUUUGGAAAUGAAGGGCAAACUAAUGUCUUGUUUUAAGAAACUGCUUAGUCCACCACUGAAGAAAAUAUCCAGAAAUUAUUUUCAUUUUAUGUAUAGGGCUUUCUUCAAAAAAAAAAAAA
rnacentral:lncRNA from 10 species